rnacentral:rRNA from 1 species
AUGACCAGGGCAAGUUCCUGCCUCCACCGCAUCAGAGGCUUCACCGCGGGUCCGUGGCCACCUUGGCCAAGCCCGGUGCUGCACGCCGCUGUUGCCUUUCUGCUGACGGGCCGCUGUUGCCUCUCCCUGUUUCCCCUGCAAAGCUUCACCUAUGUGUCCUCACCCUCUGCCUCAUCUCAGUCUCCCGGGGCACGCUCUCCCUGUCCUUCUUCCCUCGUUCUUCCACCUGAGAAGGCGCCUCACCAGCGCCCGGCCUCGCCGUCGCGCCUCCCCACGCCUGCGCACGCUCCGCCCCGCUGGUGCGCCGCUCGCCGGAGCCGAGCACCGCCGCCGCCCUACCCCGCUUCCCCCUGCUCCCCUUUCCUCUUGUCUCUCUCUAACCUCUUUCUCUCUCCCAUGGACGCCUGGAGCUCCCUCGCCGGCCGAUGCUCCGCCUUGCCCCGCGGCCUACAGAUGCGGCCGGCCACCCCGCCGGAGCCGAGCGCCGCCGCCGCCCCAGGUGAGCAGCGCCGCUGCCCUACCCCGUUUCCCCUCGCUCCCCCUUCCUCUUGUCUCUCUCUAACCUCUCUUUCCCCGCCCCAGGUGAGCAGCGUCGCCGCCCUGCCCCGUUUCCACCCCACGGCCUACAGAUCCGGCCGGCCUCCAUUGCCCUUGUCGUUCCCGUGCCCGGAUCUGGCCGGAGUUCACCGCCACCGUGCCCGCCCGUGUCGGCAACGUGGCGGCCUCCUCAGCCUCGAGGGCGAGCUCCCAGUUGACCGCGUCCGCCGCCGCGACGCCUCGGUCCACCGCGGCCUUCAAUGCCCGCCGCGACGCCUCUGUACGCCGCGCUCUACAACGCCAGUCGCGACACCUCGCCCCAUUCCUGGGCUCUGGCGGCGCUCACGUCCGCCGCGACGCAUCCCCUGCCUUGCUUGUGCGGUGUCGACGCCGGCGACAAGCGGUUCAGUAGAGGCAGGGUGUUUUUUGCAAAAAAACAAACGUUAUCUACAAUUUAAGUAG